AAUAAUAGAAGAAAGGAGGUCCCUUUGAUGAAAAUUCAAAGAAUGCAUGUGAAAAUGUAGACCCCAGGAGGAAAAGAAUAGAGAGGCAUGUGAGCCUUUUUUCAAAUUUCUGAUGUAUGCAAUGAUGUAAUAGACCAAUAAUAGUAAGUUUGAGUCAUGUAUAAAUAGAGGUCUUUGGGAAAGAAUGGAUCAUCUCGAGUUAGAAACCAUUCUCUUUCCUUAAGCUUUU
rnacentral:lncRNA from 1 species